GACGUAGGGCGCGAGCGUUGUCCGGAUUUAUUGGGCGUAAAGAGCUCGUAGGCGGCUUGUCGCGUCGACCGUGAAAACUCGCAGCUCAACUGCGAGCCUGCGGUCGAUACGGGCAGGCUAGAGUUCGGUAGGGGAGACUGGAAUUCCCGGUGUAGCGGUGAAAUGCGCAGAUAUCGGGAGGAACACCUAUGGCGAAGGCAGCUCGCUGGGACGUUACUGACGCUGAGACGCGAAAGCGUGGGGAGCAAACAGG
rnacentral:rRNA from 1 species